GAAACGUGGACUAAUACCGCAUAUUGUAGUUAAGUUGCAUGACUUGAUUAUGAAAGAUUUAUCGCUUAUGGAUGGACUCGCGUCAGAUUAGAUAGUUGGUGAGGUAACGGCUCACCAAGUCAACGAUCUGUAGCCGAACUGAGAGGUUGAUCGGCCGCAUUGGGACUGAGACACGGCCCAGACUCCUACGGGAGGCAGCAGUGGGGAAUAUUGCGCAAUGGGGGCAACCCUGACGCAGCAACGCCGCGUGCAGGAAGAAGGUCUUCGGAUUGUAAACUGUUGUCGCAAGGGAAGAAGACAGUGACGGUACCUUGUGAGAAAGUCACGGCUAACUACGUGCCAGCAGCCGCGGUAAUACGUAGGUGACAAGCGUUGUCCGGAUUUACUGGGUGUAAAGGGCGCGUAGGCGGACUGUCAAGUCAGUCGUGAAAUACCGGGGCUUAACCCCGGGGCUGCGAUUGAAACUGACAGCCUUGAGUGUCGGAGAGGAAAGCGGAAUUCCUAGUGUAGCGGUGAAAUGCGUAGAUAUUAGGAGGAACACCAGUGGCGAAGGCGGCUUUCUGGACGACAACUGACGCUGAGGCGCGAAAGUGUGGGGAGCAAACAGGAUUAGAUACCCUGGUAGUCCACACCGUAAACGAUGGAUACUAGGUGUAGGAGGUAUCGACCCCUUCUGUGCCGCAGUUAACACAAUAAGUAUCCCACCUGGGGAGUACGACCGCAAGGUUGAAACUCAAAGGAAUUGACGGGGGCCCGCACAAGCAGUGGAGUAUGUGGUUUAAUUCGAAGCAACGCGAAGAACCUUACCUGGGCUUGACAUCCCUGGAAUCGAGUAGAGAUACUUGAGUGCCUUCGGGAAUCAGGUGACAGGUGGUGCAUGGUUGUCGUCAGCUCGUGUCGUGAGAUGUUGGGUUAAGUCCCGCAACGAGCGCAACCCCUAUUGUCAGUUGCCAUCAUUAAGUUGGGCACUCUGGCGAGACUGCCGGUGACAAAUCGGAGGAAGGUGGGGAGGACGUCAAAUCAUCAUGCCCCUUAUGCCCAGGGCUACACACGUACUACAAUGGCCGAUAACAAAGUGCAGCGAAACCGUGAGGUGGAGCGAAUCACAAAACUCGGUCUCAGUUCAGAUUGCAGGCUGCAACUCGCCUGCAUGAAGUUGGAAUUGCUAGUAAUCGCGGAUCAGAAUGCCGCGGUGAAUACGUUCCCGGGCCUCGUACA
rnacentral:rRNA from 1 species